rnacentral:rRNA from 1 species
AUUGAACGCUGGCGGCAGGCCUAACACAUGCAAGUCGAGCGGAUUAAGGGAGCUUGCUCCUGGAUUCAGCGGCGGACGGGUGAGUAAUGCCUAGGAAUCUGCCUGGUAGUGGGGGAUAACGUCCGGAAACGGGCGCUAAUACCGCAUACGUCCUGAGGGAGAAAGUGGGGGAUCUUCGGACCUCACGCUAUCAGAUGAGCCUAGGUCGGAUUAGCUAGUUGGUGGGGUAAAGGCCUACCAAGGCGACGAUCCGUAACUGGUCUGAGAGGAUGAUCAGUCACACUGGAACUGAGACACGGUCCAGACUCCUACGGGAGGCAGCAGUGGGGAAUAUUGGACAAUGGGCGAAAGCCUGAUCCAGCCAUGCCGCGUGUGUGAAGAAGGUCUUCGGAUUGUAAAGCACUUUAAGUUGGGAGGAAGGGCAGUAAGUUAAUACCUUGCUGUUUUGACGUUACCAACAGAAUAAGCACCGGCUAACUUCGUG